rnacentral:rRNA from 1 species
CCUACGGGAGGCAGCAGUGAGGAAUAUUGGUCAAUGGACGGAAGUCUGAACCAGCCAUGCCGCGUGAAGGAAGACGGCUCUAUGAGUUGUAAACUGCUUUUGUACAAGGGUAAACCUGAAUACGUGUAUUCUGCUGAAAGUACUGUACGAAUAAGGAUCGGCUAACUCCGUGCCAGCAGCCGCGGUAAUACGGAGGAUCCAAGCGUUAUCCGGAUUUAUUGGGUUUAAAGGGAGCGUAGGUGGCUUGAUAAGUUAGUUGUGAAAGUUCCGGGCUUAACCGUGGAACUGCCUUUCAUACUGGUAAUCUAGAGAGGAGUAGCGGUAGGCGGAAUGCAUGGUGUAGCGGUGAAAUGCUUAGAGAUCAUGCAGAACACCGAUUGCGAAGGCAGCUUAC